GACGAACGCUGGCGGCGUGCUUAACACAUGCAAGUCGAACGCUGAAGCUCAGCUUUUGUUGGGUGGAUGAGUGGCGAACGGGUGAGUAACACGUGAGUAACCUGCCCCCUUCUUUGGGAUAACGCCCGGAAACGGGUGCUAAUACUGGAUAUUCACUGGUCUUCGCAUGGGGGUUGGUGGAAAGGGUUUUUCUGGUGGGGGAUGGGCUCGCGGCCUAUCAGCUUGUUGGUGGGGUGAUGGCCUACCAAGGCUUUGACGGGUAGCCGGCCUGAGAGGGUGACCGGUAACAUUGGGACUGAGAUACGGCCCAGACUCCUACGGGAGGCAGCAGUGGGGAAUAUUGCACAAUGGGCGCAAGCCUGAUGCAGCGACGCCGCGUGAGGGAUGGAGGCCUUCGGGUUGUGAACCUCUUUCGCUCAUGGUCAAGCCGCAACAAUGGUUGUGGUGAGGGUAGUGGGUAAAGAAGCGCCGGCUAACUACGU
rnacentral:rRNA from 1 species